CGUUCAGGCUGGGCUAGAAGACAGGGCCCGCACUGGCUGGGUCCUACGGGAGGAGUGGGCGUCGGCAUGGACGGGAGGCCCCUGGGCCAGGGACCCUCAGCUCGGCCGUGCCCCACAGCCCCGCACGAAUGCCCUGCUCCCAAGGACCUCAGCAGGGCCCACGAAGUCUUCAUCGUCCUUGUCGUUUGACCGCUGUUUUGGACAGAUGAGUACCCAGAGGCCCAGGAUAUUCACCAAUGUCCAGGAAGUCAAAGAGCUGGGGAAGAAGCUCAGGGUAGGGGCAUGUAAUUGGCUAAAUCCAAAGGUCCUUCGUGAGGCUACAUAUAACAGGAAGCAGAACCACAGUACCAACCAGAGGCAUCUUGGACUCCAGUAAGUGCUCCGACGGCUGCUGCGGUUUCCCCAGACAAGACGAUCUGUCCCCCACCUUGUAAGGUGGCCUCAGCCAGGGUGGCGACAGCAUGGGCGGCAGCUUCGCUGCGGGCACAGGAACAGGAGAGAGGAUGAUGAAUAGAGGAACAGCACUGCAGCCAAGACAAACCAUCCUUUCAA
rnacentral:lncRNA from 1 species